rnacentral:rRNA from 1 species
GCAUCGGGAGGGAUAAGACAUGCUAGUCGAGUGCUCUUUAGCCAUGAUGAGAGCACGGCGCACAGCUCAGUAACACGUGGCUAACCUGCCCUUGGGACGAGAACAACCCCGGGAAACUGGGGCCAAUUCUCGAUAGGUGAAGCUUCCUGGAAUGGAUUUUCGCCCAAAAGACGCUUAGGUCAUGCUUCUAGGCGUUGCCUAAGGAUGGGGCCGUGGCCGAUCAGGUUGUUGGUGAGGUAAUGGCUCACCAAGCCUAUAACCGGUGCGGGCCGUGGGAGCGGGAGCCCGGAGAUGGGAACUGAGACAAGAUCCCAGGCCCUACGGGGCGCAGCAGUCGCGCAAACUUCGCAAUAAGCGAAAGCUUGACGGGGCUAUCCCGAGCGCCAUCCGCUGAGGAUGGCUUUUCUCUAGUGUAGAUAGCUGGGGGAAUAAGGAGAGGGCAAGUCUGGUGUCAGCCGCCGCGGUAAUACCAGCUCUCCGAGUGGUGAGGACGAUUAUUGGGCCUGAAGCAUCCGUAGCCGGCUGGGCAAGUCCCCUGUUAAAUCCAACGAACUAAUCGCUGGCCUGCAGGGGAUACUGCUCGGCUAGGGGGCGGGAGAGGCCGUCGGUAUUCUUGGGGUAGGGGUGAAAUCCUAUAAUCCCAGGAGGACCACCAGUGGCGAAGGCUGUCGGCUAGAACGCGCUCGACGGUGAGGGAUGAAAGCUGGGGGAGCGAACCGGAUUAGAUACCCGGGUAGUCCCAGCUGUAAACGAUGCAGGCUAGGUGUUAGGGCGGCCACGUGCCGCUCUAGUGCCGCAGGGAAACUGUUAAGCCUGCCGCCUGGGGAGUACGGCCGCAAGGCUGAAACUUAAAGGAAUUGGCGGGGGAGCACCACAAGGGGUGAAGCUUGCGGUUUAAUUGGAGUCAACGCCGGA